rnacentral:lncRNA from 1 species
ACAAAGUGACGAGCCUCUAUUGUUUUGAUUUUGGUCCUGCCUCAGGUUUAUAAUACACCUGCCCUGAAGACGUGGAAUUGAGCCAGGGGUGAGGAAAGAAAGAGCGGAGGGAGAAAGAAGCCGACUCACGGGUAAAACGCAAACCGGUCUCUGAGACCUGCGGAGUUGCACGUGACGCCCUACGGACCUGCCCCUGGGACACAGGUUCUCCCGGCCGACUCCGCGCCGGCACCCGCCCCCGCGCUCCACUGAUUGGCUGCGUCGGCUCGCUCCUCACGCUCUUUUGUCUCAGCCCGCAGAGGAUAAAAGCAGCCGCAGCUGCCUCGGGAACUGCGCUGCGGCGUCUCGGCUUCCCCUCGUUGGGUGGCCGUGCGAGGCAGUUCUAUCGGGCAUCUCUGGGCCGCUUAGCUGCGGAAGAGGCGCUCGUCUUUUUCCUUUACAGGGCUGCGGAGAUUGGAAGGCGGAAUCCAUAGCUGUGGACGCCGGAGCACACCGUUAGCAGCGGGUUGCAGGUAAAAUACAUGGGGGCAAGAUUCCCUCUUUCGAAGAGGGGUGGGGGACAUCGUCCCCAGUACUGGGCGGCUCCCAGUGUGGAGAAUUGGUAACUUCGAGGCAGGGGAAGGAGCACCCAAGGCCCGGCCACGCGGAGGAAGGAGGUAGGGCUCAACCUGGAUGCUUCCGACCGGGUAGGAUUUGCCUGGAUUGGGGAGAGGGGAGUGGGGGGUGGUAUGCGCAGGACGAGGGGUAAAGAGUAGUGUUCGCUCCUAACCCUCUUUGCAUAUCCUCACCUCUUCCUGGGGAGGAAUACGUGGGUGGGUGUGUCCAACUCCUGUGUUUUUUUUUUCUCCAUAGCAGCUCAUCAAAGACGAAAACCUGAACUUUAAUUCUGCGCAGUUGACUGAUAAGCUGGUAGGUCAGUGGUCUCCCGGGGGGUUACAGGGGUGCAUUUUGGCUUGUAUUCAGAAGGUGGGAGAAGCGGCGUGGUGCGGGGAGUGGGGGCGGGGAGUGGCGGGAUGAGAUUGAGGCUGAGGCUGCUUCUGACCCUUACCUUCCCCCUGCUGUGGCGCAGUCUUGACGCCCUGAGCACAGGGUUCUACAAACCCGGAGGUGAGCUUUCUCAUAGAGGGCACCGGUUGCAGAGCUUGAACCUGAAAAAAGGUGAGCAUUAUUUUCUGAGCCCCUGUAAGAAUCAAAAAAAUGAGAGAGGGGGGAGGAUUUUGAGAAGGGCGGGUGGUUGAGGCUAGAUCAUGAAGUUAAUUAGAUCUUAUUUUAUUUCCACAAAUCCUUAAGCACUGUGCUCUGUUGAGAGCCCAGCAUCAGCUGCAUUAUGCUGUAAAACCUGGAAUUCGAAGCAAGUUGCAGUUCCUCUCGAAGAACUUGGCGGGAGGGGGUCUGUGUGGCUGCAGAAAGCACCCUGGUAGCGUGGGGACACCAGCCAGCCCUGAGAACCUGUAAUCGCCAGUCUCCUGCAGGAUGUUUUUAGGGUAGUGGAUAGAUAUAAACUGUAAUGCACGCUACUGAGGUAGGGAGAGUCUAUAGCUGCAGCCUGCUCUCUGUUUAAUCCCCCCUUUUCCUUUUUUACAGCCUCCACUGAAAUCGGAAGAAGGAAGAGUACCGCAACAUCUGCAGAUUAGGCUUUUAUUUCUAAAAAGCCUGAGCAUCGUAUAUUCAGAUACCCUAUCAUUGCUAGGCAUGGCUAGUAUUAUUGCACGUGUGGGUAGCCGUCGGCAGAAUGCGCCGUUGCCGCCUUGGGCCCAUUCCAUGCUGAGGUCCCUGGGGUCCUCAGAACCCGGAAACUACCGGUCGUACCG